rnacentral:miRNA from 1 species
UGCCUAGGCUGAGACUGCAGUG